GGAACUGGAGCCGUGCGGCGUCCGGUUUCAGCAGGGAAGGCUUAGGCGGGCGUCCCAGCCUCCGGGCUUCCGGUGCCGUUUCCCGGUUCGCUGGGCCGCGGUCGCUAUGGAGGAGCCGGAGAUGCAGCUCAAGGGGAAGAAAGUCACGGACAAGUUCACUGAGAGCGUCUACGUCCUGGCCAACGAGCCAUCUGUGGCCCUGUACCGGCUGCAGGAGCAUGUGCGUCGCUCCCUCCCCGAGCUGGCCCAGCACAAGGCAGACAUGCAGCGUUGGGAGGAGCAGAGCCAGGGAGCCAUCUACACUGUGGAGUACGCCUGCAGCGCCGUGAAGAACCUGGUGGACAGCAGCGUCUACUUCCGCAGCGUGGAGGGUCUGCUCAAACAGGCCAUCAGCAUCCGGGACCAUAUGAAUGCCAGUGCCCAGGGCCACAGCCCGGAGGAACCACCCCCGCCCUCCUCAGCCUGAUCCUGGAAGAGACUCGGGGCCCCCCAGCCUCCGCCAACCCAGGACCUUAAGCACUGCCCUGUUUUACAGAAGAGGAAACGGAGGCCCCGAGAGCCUGACUGAAGCUGGGCCAGGCAGAGACUGAAGACUGAACGAGUGUGGCCAGCAUUCCUCCUGCACCUGCCCGGAGCCUCCAGGCCCAGCCGUCAAUGUUCCCAGAAGUCCAGAAGUGGCUUUGCUGCUCCUGGACUCUCACUGGCGCCCCAUCGACCCUUGGACCAAUAACUGCCAUCAAAAUAAUCCUGAUUAUGCACCUAUCAAGUCCCUGGCCCUGGGCUAAAGUCUUCACAGGGGUCAUCUCAUUUCAUCCUCAGCCCCAAAAGAGACGGGGUUUCACCAUGUUGGCUAGGCUGGUCUCAAACUCCUGAGCUCGUGAUCCUCCCACCUCAGCCUCCCAAAGUGCUGGGAUUAUAGAUGUGAGCCACCGCACCCAGCCUUGGUUCUCCCUUUCUUCAUCUGGAUAAGGAAGGCUGGACUGCACCUUCUCUACAGGCUGAGUUGGACAUUCGCAGAUCUACCCUCCCAACCUGCAUUCUGCCUCAAGCAGCAACGCCCACCCCAGGCUCAGGCCACAUGGAGAAGCCACCCCUAGUUCCAGUGGUGGAUGUGGCACCUCGGCCUGGCCAAUCAGAGCUCCCUUGUCCUAGGUUCCUAGUGAUUGGUUCAAGAUGGACACGUGACCCAAUGAGCGGCCUUUCCUGGGAGUUCUACCAGGAGCAUCAGGAAGGUUGAGCUGGGUGUAUGGGAACCAGGCCGGGGCGAGGGGUUCCAGGGGGGACCUGAGAACAUUGCGUGGAGCCCUGGAUCCAACUGUACCUGACACUAGCCAAUUUCAUUUCUUCAGUUUCAUGGACCCCUAAAUUAUGAUUUUUGCCAAAAUG